rnacentral:sRNA from 1 species
CUGGCUUUGAGAGAUGAGCCCUACUCACCAGAUUCAAGAUCCCAAGAUGGGCACGGGUGAAAAUCUUUACAAGUGCUGCAGACUUUGGCAAAGCCUUUAAAUUCAGAGCAGCCCAGAGAGGAGAAAGGAAAGUGGAUGUGGGUUCAGGCCACGUAAAAUGGAGAUCCGAUUGCCUGACUUAGCUUUGAAGCGAAUCUUCUCUUUCUUGGACCUGUUCGGCUUGCUGCAGGUUUCCCAGGUGAACAAGCAUUGGAAUAGGAUUGCAGACAGCGAUUACCUGUGGAGGUAAAGGGAAGGGAAAGGGGAAGGGGGGAAGGGGAGAGGAGAUCAUCUGACUGCGCACCCAUGCUGCGUACCGAGGCCUGUGUGGCUGUGUUGUGAGAUAUACGCAGGAAAAUUAGUGUGAGUAGGGGGUUGUGAUAUAACCGGGGCUCCAAGGAGGUGAACUGACUGAGAACAGCCUGAUGGGACUGUGACACCGUUUCCAGGUCACUAUCUCUGCAGAGAUGGGACUGCAGCAACUUCACCUAUCAACACCUGGGCACACACACAUGGAAGCAAUUUUUCCUGCAUCAAAGAAGGAAGGAGCUUCGAUUGGCAUUGGCACAGCCGCGUAACUUUAUCUACAAAGUAACUAAGAACAUCGCAUUUGAGACACAGUUGGCUUAUCUCUCAGGAAAUAGCCUUACAAUGGAUGAACAGGAGAAAUCAAUCAUUUGUAGUGUAUCUCCAAAGCAAGAGCUUUGUGCCUGGGAUGUGCAAGAGGGCACCAUCAUCUGGUCAAGCCCAGUCCAGGAGUUCCAUUUAUCAAAUCUGGUAACCCUCCCUCAGAUGCAUCUCGCCGUCACUAUGGAUCGGAAAAAAACUAUCAAAGUGUGGAACUGUCAGGACAGGGACGCUCUGGCCGUUCUCCCCAUGCCAGAGCCCUGUUAUUGCAUGGAAGCCUAUCUUACAAAGGAUGGCCCAUUCCUGAUGGUGGGCGAUGCUGCAGGUGACAUCUACACAUUUACACUGCCUGGGUUAAGGGAUGUUUCUAAAGUUACUGCAUUUCAAUAUGGUAUUGUACUUCUACACUGCUCUCCUGACAAGAAAUGGGUAUUUGCAUGUGGGACAUACAGUCGUACCUUGCCACAGGUAUUCCUCACAGAGUCCUUACUGAGGCCAUCAGAAGGCAGUGCUCCUCUGUCUACCUUUCUCCCACAUAAAUUAUGUGCCAGCGCCUGCUGGGCCCCAAAGGUGAAAAACAGGAUAACACUGAUGUCCCAAAGUAGCACUGGAAAAAAGACAGAAUUUAUCACCUUUGAUCUAACAACCAAGAAGACUGGAGGCCAAACAGUCAUCCAAGCACAUGAGGUUGCAAGUUUCCAGGUGGCAGCUCAUCUGAAGUGCCCUAUCUGGAUGGGAGCCAGUGAUGGAUAUAUGAUUGUCUUUACCAGUGGGCCAUACUUGUUACUCUUCAGCAUCACUGGCUUCCUGCUGCAACGAUUUGAGGACCACCAGGCAGCCAUCAACAACUUCUGGGUGGUAUGUAUGAUUCUCCUCCACUGCUUUUUGAUCUGACUUUGACUCCUUGGCCACUCACUCUGGCUAUCCUUGGAAGGAUCCUUGCUAUGUGCUCACCACAUCCGAGAACUCUGUGCACGUGUACGUGUGGGAAGAAGGAGGCCGCCAUCCAUACCUCAGGAGCUGCUGUCACCUGGAAAACACGUGGCAUGAUCACACAACAGACAGCUGCAUCUCCAGUGUGAUGUGUGAUAAUGCAAGCAUAGUACUUAGGCUGAGGAAAGUAAGUGACUCCAGCAUUCUGGUGAUGUAUUCUUUGAAUACGUAAUAUGGAAACUAACAAAAUUGACCUUGCA